UGAACAGGGAAAAGCCCAGCACCGAAGCCUGUGGUCAUUUGGUCACUAGGCAAUGUGGUGUUCAGGUCGUUCCAUAGAGGUGCUGCUCCACCCUAAGUCCAGCAAUGAGUACGGUGGUACGGACAUGGCCCACAGAGGGUGAAAGGCCCGUGGGGGUGGAGAUCAGGCAGGCCAGUGCCUCUCUGGGUAGACCUUGGAGUCGGGUUGUUUGUGAAUGCAGCCCAAAGUGGGUGGUAAACUCCAUCCAAGGCUAAAUACUUGCACGAGUCCGAUAGCGAACAAGUACCGUGAGGGAAAGUUGAAAAGUACUUUGAAGAGAGAGUAAACAGUGCGUGAAACCGCUCAGAGGUAAACGGGUGGAGUUGAACUGCAAGCUUCGGGAAUUCAGCUGGUGAGUGUGGUUUGGGCUUGGUCAAGUCGGUUGGACAUUGAGGUCUGUGUAGCGGCAGGUCCUUACUCUCGGGUAAGGAUGCGCGAUACACUUAUCAAGUGUUGUGCGCCUCUUUGUUUAUCGGGCCAAUUUGCCAGUGCACUUUCUCGGAGUGUUCACCACGACCGGCACUGCUGUCUGAUUGCUGUGGUUAAACCGGACUUACAGGGCUCUUGUGGCGUUGUAUGGCCGGGAAGGCAGGUAGCUCGUUGGCUAGCUUGCGGUUUACCGCUGGCGUUUGGUUUUCGAGUGUAAAUAGCUGACCACGAUAUUUCUGUGCAGUGUGUCGGAGACGGCGGCUUGUGGUACGUGCGUGCGUGCCGGUUCUGCUGGCGUGUCCGGGUUUGGUUGUCAUGUUGCUUGUGAAUGCAGGCCUGGCAAUGGUUCGGAUUCGUUUGGUGGGCGGUUGCGUAUGUGGUGCCGUUAAGGGCCAACAGUCUGUGGUGUAGUGGUAGACUAUCCACCUGACCCGUCUUGAAACACGGACCAAGGAGAGUAACAUGUGCGCGAGUCAUUGGGCGUAACGAAACCCACAGGCGCAGUGAAAGUAAAGGCUUGGCUUGUCCAGGCUGAGGUGAGAUCCUGUCGUUUUCACACAUGGUGCCACCAAGCAACGAGCGGCAGGCGCAUCACCGGCCCGUCCCAUGACGUAGACACAUAAUCUUCGGACCAGUGCACCGUCGGGGCGGAGCAUGAGCGUACAUGUUGAGACCCGAAAGAUGGUGAACUAUGCUUGCGCAGGUUGAAGCCAGAGGAAACUCUGGUGGAGGACCGCAGCGAUUCUGACGUGCAAAUCGAUC
rnacentral:rRNA from 1 species